CCUGAUCCAGCAAUGCCGCGUGUGUGAAGAAGGCCUUCGGGUUGUAAAGCACUUUUGUUCGGGAAGAAAAGGUUUGGGCUAAUAUCCUGAACUGAUGACGGUACCGGAAGAAUAAGCACCGGCUAACUACGUGCCAGCAGCCGCGGUAAUACGUAGGGUGCAAGCGUUAAUCGGAAUUACUGGGCGUAAAGCGUGCGCAGGCGGUUUGUUAAGACAGAUGUGAAAUCCCCGGGCUCAACCUGGGAACUGCAUUUGUGACUGGCAAGCUAGAGUCUGGCAGAGGGGGGUGGAAUUCCGCGUGUAGCAGUGAAAUGCGUAGAUAUGCGGAGGAACACCGAUGGCGAAGGCAGCCCCCUGGGCCAACACUGACGCUCAUGCACGAAAGCGUGGGGAGCAAACAGGAUUAGAUACCCUGGUAGUCCACGCCCUAAACGAUGUCAACUAGUUGUUGGGGAUUCAUUUCCUUAGUAACGUAGCUAACGCGUGAAGUUGACCGCCUGGGGAGUACGGUCGCAAGAUUAAAACUCAAAGGAAUUGACGGGGACCCGCACAAGCGGUGGAUGAUGUGGAUUAAUUCGAUGCAACGCGAAAAACCUUACCUACCCUUGACAUGGUCGGAACCCUUGAGAGAU
rnacentral:rRNA from 1 species